rnacentral:lncRNA from 1 species
AUGCCAGGCCGCAUGGGCUAUGUGGACUCCAACAGCCUCUUGGGACAGAUCCACUGGAGGCCAGUCAGCCAUUAUUCCCCAACCUGCAGUGAUGAUGAUGGUGAUGGUAGUGAUGAUGGUGGAGGUGGUGGUGCUGGUGUUGGUGGUGGUGGUGGUGAUGGUGGAGGUGGAGGUGGAGGUGGAGGUGGUGGUGCUGGUGUUGGUGGUGGUGAUGGUGGAGGUGGAGGUGGAGGUGGAGGUGGAGGUGGUGGUGGUAGUGGUGGUGCUGGUGCUGGUGUUGGUGGUGGAGGUGGAGGUGGUUGUGAGGAUGCUGGUGGUGGUGGUGAUGGUGGAGGUGGAGGUGGAGGUGGUGGUGCUGGUGUUGGUGGUGGUGAUGGUGGAGGUGGAGGUGGAGGUGGAGGUGGAGGUGGAGGUAGUGGUGGUAGUGGUGGUGCUGGUGCUGGUGGUGGUGGUGAUGGUGGAGGUGGAGGUGGGUGUGGUGGUGGUAGUGGUGGUGCUGGUGCUGGAGGUGGUGGUGCUGGUGGUGGUAAUGGUGGUGGAGGUGGAGGUGAUGGUGGAGGUGGUGAUGGUGAUGAUGCUGGUGGUGGAGGUGGAGGUGGUGGUGAGGAUGCUGGUACUGGAGGUGGUAGUGGGGAUGCUGGUGGUGAUGGUGGAGGUGGAGGUGGAGGUGGAGGUAGUGGUGGUAGUGAUGAUGCUGGUGCUGGAGGAGGCGGAGGCGGAGGCGCCACACUGACAGCCCAGGGUCCCCGAGCCCAGCUCCAGGCCCGCCAGGCAAAGCCCGGGAAGGCCUCUCCGGCCCGUCCUCCCCCGAUCCCGUCGCUCCGUGACCCGCCGCCUUUCCAGACGGGAAACAGGCUGGACCGUUCUGCUGAGGCGUCCCGACGGCCGGGGUGGGAGGGUCGGCGGGGUCGGCUCCGCUCGCGGCUCAAGGCCGCCCCCCGCCCCCCGCCCCCCGCGACCCCUGCGACCCCCCGCGACCCCGCCCCCCGGAAGCCGCCGACACCCCCAGAAGCAGCCCCGGCCUCGUGGCCCGCUCCCCGCCCGCCCCUGCGAAGCCCCGGCCGCACCUGCAGCCGCCGAGCGUCCCGGGGACGGUGGCGUCGGCUCCCAACACCGAGUCCAUCGCGGGCGCGGGCGCGGGCGCGGCGGCGCUCCCCGGGUCCCCGGGUCCCCGCCCCUCCAGCCCUGCUCCGGGUCGGACGCCGGCGGCGCCGCUGGAAUUCAAACCGCAGCCGCCGCCAUCUUUCCCGGCGCUUCUUCCUACGGAAACGGGGCGGGGCCACGGAGGCGCGCGCUGAAGCCGCCCGGCGGCGGCCGGAGGCCGGGCAGCGGAGCGCGGGCGGGUGCCAUCUCGGUUAA